GACGAACGCUGUUUGCGUGCUUAACACAUGCAAGUCGAACGGAAAGGCCCUGCUUUUGUGGGGUGCUCGAGUGGCGAACGGGUGAGUAACACGUGAGUAACCUGCCCUUGACUUUGGGAUAACUUCAGGAAACUGGGGCUAAUACCGGAUAGGAGCUCCUGCUGCAUGGUGGGGGUUGGAAAGUUUCGGCGGUUGGGGAUGGACUCGCGGCUUAUCAGCUUGUUGGUGGGGUAGUGGCUUACCAAGGCUUUGACGGGUAGCCGGCCUGAGAGGGUGACCGGCCACAUUGGGACUGAGAUACGGCCCAGACUCCUACGGGAGGCAGCAGUGGGGAAUAUAGCACAAUGGGCGGAAGCCUGAUGCAGCAACGCCGCGUGCGGGAUGACGGCCUUCGGGUUGUAAACCGCUUUCGCCUGUGGCGAAGCGUGAGUGACGGUAAUGGGUAAAGAAGCACCGGCUAACUACGUGCCAGCAGCCGCGGUGAUACGUAGGGUGCGAGCGUUGUCCGGAUUUAUUGGGCGUAAAGGGCUCGUAGGUGGUUGAUCGCGUCGGAAGUGUAAUCUUGGGGCUUAACCCUGAGCGUGCUUUCGAUACGGGUUGACUUGAGGAAGGUAGGGGAGAAUGGAAUUCCUGGUGGAGCGGUGGAAUGCGCAGAUAUCAGGAGGAACACCAGUGGGCGAAGGCGGUUCUCUGGGCCUUUCCUGACGCUGAGGAGCGAAAGCGUGGGGAGCGAACAGGCUUAGAUACCCUGGUAGUCCACGCUGUAAACGGUGGGUACUAGGUGUGGGGUCCAUUCCACGGGUUCCGUGCCGUAGCUAACGCUUUAAGUACCCCGCCUGGGGAGUACGGCCGCAAGGCUAAAACUCAAAGGAAUUGACGGGGCCCCGCACAAGCGGCGGAGCAUGCGGAUUAAUUCGAUGCAACGCGUAGAACCUUACCUGGGUUUGACAUGGAUCGGGAGUGCUCAGAGAUGGGUGUGCCUCUUUUGGGGUCGGUUCACAGGUGGUGCAUGGCUGUCGUCAGCUCGUGUCGUGAGAUGUUGGGUUAAGUCCCGCAACGAGCGCAACCCUUGUUCACUGUUGCCAGCACGUUAUGGUGGGGACUCAGUGGAGACCGCCGGGGUCAACUCGGAGGAAGGUGGGGAUGACGUCAAGUCAUCAUGCCCCUUAUGUCCAGGGCUUCACGCAUGCUACAAUGGCUGGUACAGAGAGUGGCGAGCCUGUGAGGGUGAGCGAAUCUCGGAAAGCCGGUCUCAGUUCGGAUUGGGGUCUGCAACUCGACCUCAUGAAGUCGGAGUCGCUAGUAAUCGCAGAUCAGCAACGCUGCGGUGAAUACGUUCCCGGGGCU
rnacentral:rRNA from 1 species